UCCUACGGGAGGCAGCAGUGAGGAAUAUUGGACAAUGGAGGCAACCCUGAUCCAGCAAUGCCGCGUGUGUGAAGAAGGCCUGCGGGUUGUAAAGCACUUUCAAUUGGGAAGAAGAGGGGUUGGAUAAUACCCGACCUUCUUGACGUUACCUUUAGAAGAAGCACCGGCUAACUCCGUGCCAGCAGCCGCGGUAAUAC
rnacentral:rRNA from 1 species